rnacentral:lncRNA from 1 species
GGCCGGGCACGGUGGCUCACGCCUGUAAUCCCAGUGCUUUGGGAGGCCCAGGUGGGUGGAUCACUUGAGGUCAGGAGUUCAAGACCAGCCUGACCAACAUGGUGAAACCCCGUCUCUACUAAAAAUACAAAAAUUAGCCGGGUGUGGUGGCAGGCGCCUGUAGUCCCAGCUACUUGGGAGGCUGAGGCAAGAGGAUCGCUUGAACCCAGGAGGCAGAGGUUGCGGUGAGCUGAGAUCCAGCCACUGCACUCCAGCCUGGGUGACACUCCAUCUCAAUGAAAGGGCAACAUAGCAAAACUCUGUCUCUACAAAAAAAGAAAGAAAAAAAUUAUAUAUAUAUAUAUAUAUAUAUAUGAAAGAAAUGCAGCCCAUGACCCCUUCCCUUGAGUCUGCUGGGCUUGUGACACACUUAUAACCAAUAGGAUGGGGCAGAAGUAAUGCUACAGGACUGCUAAGGUUGAACUUUAAAAGACAAUGCAGCAGCCACCUUUUCUGCUGGACCAGGUGGGCUUGAAGCCUCCAGCUGCCCUGUAAGCAGCCCAACUGCCCUGAGGCUGCUCCAAAUCAGCCUGCCCAGAGAGACCACUCUGAGACUACGUGGAGAGAGAGAGAGAUGCUUGUCCAGCUCCCAGCUGAACCCAGGCCCCACCCUUGCUGUCCCAGCUCCAGC